rnacentral:rRNA from 1 species
AUUGAACGCUGGCGGCAGGCCUAACACAUGCAAGUCGAGCGGACGAAGGGAGCUUGCUCCUGGAUUCAGCGGCGGACGGGUGAGUAAUUCCUAGGAAUCUGCCUGGCAUUGGGGGCUAGCGUCCGGAAACGGGCGCUAAUACCGCAUACGUCCAGAUGGAGAAAGUCGUGGAUCUUCGGACCUCACGCUAUCAGAUGUGCCUAGGUCGGAUUAGCUAGUUGGUGUGGUAAAGGCCUACCAAGGCGACGAUCCGUAACUGCUCUGAGAGGAUGAUCUGCCACACUGGAACUGAGACACGGUCCAGACUCCUACGGGAGGCAGCAGUAGGGAAUAUUGGGCAAUGGGCGAAAGCCUGAUGGAGCCAUGCCGCGUGUGUGAAGAAGGUCUUCGGAUUGUAAAGCACUUUAAGUUGGGAAGAAGAACAGUAAGUUAAUAUCUGGCUGUUUUGACGUUACCAACAGAGAAAGCCACGGCUAACUACGUG